UACGUAGGGUGCGAGCGUUAAUCGGAAUUACUGGGCGUAAAGCGUGCGCAGGCGGUUUUGUAAGCCAGAUGUGAAAUCCCCGGGCUUAACCUGGGAAUGGCAUUUGGGACUGCAAGGCUGGAGUGCGGCAGAGGAGACUGGAAUUCCUGGUGUAGCAGUGAAAUGCGUAGAUAUCGGGAGGAACACCUGAGGCGAAGGCGGGCUACUGGGCCGAUACUGACGCUGAGGCGCGAAAGCCAGGGGAGCGAACGGG
rnacentral:rRNA from 1 species